AUUGAUUUUAUGCUUGCAUAAAUGAUUUUUGGAUUCGGAGCGAGUGGCGAACUGGUGAGUAACACGUGGGUAACCUGCCCCGAAGCGGGGGAUAACAUUUGGAAACAAGUGCUAAUACCGCAUAAUUAGUUGGAACCGCAUGGUUCCAACUUGAAAGAUGGCUCUGCUAUCACUUUGGGAUGGACCCGCGCCGUAUUAGUUAGUUGGUGAGAUAAAAGCCCACCAAGACGAUGAUACGUAGCCGACCUGAGAGGGUAAUCGGCCACAUUGGGACUGAGACACGGCCCAGACUCCUACGGGAGGCAGCAGUAGGGAAUCUUCCACAAUGGACGAAAGUCUGAUGGAGCAACGCCGCGUGAGUGAUGAAGGUUUUCGGAUCGUAAAACUCUGUUGUUAAAGAAGAACAAGUGUUAGAGUAACUGUUAACACUUUGACGGUAUUUAACCAGAAAGCCACGGCUAACUACGUGCCAGCAGCCGCGGUAAUACGUAGGUGGCAAGCGUUGUCCGGAUUUAUUGGGCGUAAAGCGAGCGCAGGCGGUUUUGUAAGUCUGCUGUGAAAGCCCUCAGCUCAACUGAGGAAGUGCAGUGGAAACUACAAAACUUGAGUACAGAAGAGGAAAGUGGAACUCCAUGUGUAGCGGUGAAAUGCGUAGAUAUAUGGAAGAACACCAGUGGCGAAGGCGGCUUUCUGGUCUGUUACUGACGCUGAGGCUCGAAAGCAUGGGUAGCGAACAGGAUUAGAUACCCUGGUAGUCCAUGCCGUAAACGAUGAAUACUAGGUGUUGGAGGGUUUCCGCCCUUCAGUGCCGCAGCUAACGCAUUAAGUAUUCCGCCUGGGGAGUACGACCGCAAGGUUGAAACUCAAAGGAAUUGACGGGGGCCCGCACAAGUGGUGGAGUAUGUGGUUUAAUUCGAUGCUACGCGAAGAACCUUACCAGCUCUUGACAUCUUCUGCCAACCCAAGAGAUUGGGCGUUCCCUUCGGGGACAGAAUGACAGGUGGUGCAUGGUUGUCGUCAGCUCGUGUCGUGAGAUGUUGGGUUAAGUCCCGCAACGAGCGCAACCCUUAUUAUUAGUUGCCAGCAUUUAGUUGGGCACUCUAGUGAGACUGCCGGUGAUAAA
rnacentral:rRNA from 1 species